rnacentral:rRNA from 1 species
AGCAGCCGCGGUAAUUCCAGCUCCAAUAGCGUAUAUUAAAGUUGUUGCAGUUAAAAAGCUCGUAGUUGAAUUUCGGGGUUAGUAGGUUGGUCAUGCCUCUGGUAUGUACUGGUCUCACUGAUUCCUCCUUCCUGAUGAGCCGUAAUGCCAUUAAUUUGGUGUUGCGGGGAAUUUGGACUGUUACUUUGAAAAAAUUAGAGUGUUUAAAGCAAGCUAACGCUUGAAUACAUUAGCAUGGAAUAAUGAAAUAGGACGUUCGAUCCUAUUUUGUUGGUUUCUAGGAU